UACGAAGGGGGGCUAGCGUUGCUCGGAAUUACUGGGCGUAAAGGGCGCGUAGGCGGCACUGUUAGUCAGGCGUGAAAGUCCUGGGCUCAACCUGGGAACUGCGCUUGAUACGGCAGAGCUAGAGGAUGGAAGAGGCUCGCGGAAUUCCCAGUGUAGAGGUGAAAUUCGUAGAUAUUGGGAAGAACACCGGUGGCGAAGGCGGCGAGCUGGUCCAUUACUGACGCUGAGGCGCGACAGCGUGGGGAGCAAACGGG
rnacentral:rRNA from 1 species